CCUACGGGUGGCAGCAGUGAGGAAUAUUGGUCAAUGGACGAGAGUCUGAACCAGCCAAGUAGCGUGAAGGAUGACUGCCCUAUGGGUUGUAAACUUCUUUUAUAAAGGAAUAAAACGCGGCACGUGUGCUUUUUUGCAGGUACUUUAUGAAUAAGGACCGGCUAACUCCGUGCCAGCAGCCGCGGUAAUACGGAGGAUCCGAGCGUUAUCCGGAUUUAUUGGGUUUAAAGGGAGCGUAGAUGGGAUGUUAAGUCAGUCGUGAAAGUUUGCGGCUCAACCAUCACAUUGCAGUUGAUACUGGCAGUCUUGAGUACGCGUGAGGUAUGCGGAAUUCGUGGUGUAGCGGUGAAAUGCUUAGAUAUCACGAAGAACCCCGAUUGCGAAGGCAGCAUACGGCAGUGUUACUGACGUUGAGGCUCGAAAGUGUGGGUAUCGAACAGGAUUAGAUACCCGAGUAGUC
rnacentral:rRNA from 1 species